AUCAACCUCGACGUGAACCUGUCCGCUCAUUUGUGUGCGUGCGGCCAAGAGAUCCUAAGAAUAUGUAGAAAUCCAUAUAUUCAGUUCAACACACAGAAGCCUUAUAUACCUCCUGAUGGUUCUUCUUCAAAAAGACCAGCUCCUCCUUCAGCCCUUCGAUCUGCACGGUGAGGUCUUUACUGCUGAGGUUGAAGUCAUCAAGCACCCUCCUCAGCCCGACAAUGUCUGCUUCCACAGACUGACGCAUGACAUGCUCGGUUUCAUAUCUGUCAUGCAGCAACAUUGACUUUAGAAACACCCACACUGGACAUUAGACAAUAUACUGCGAGAAGACCACUUCCAAACUGAGCAUGUCACCCUGAAAACCCUAACAUACCUUAGCCUGAAGAUCCUUUAUGGUGGCAAAGUAGGAGGUGUAAUCACGAGCAAUAGGAGAGGCUUUGCCAUCAAGGAACUGACGGAUCUUCAUCUCCAGGUCCGCGUUGGCCUUCUCCAGAGAGCGAACCUUGACCAGAUGUCGACGCGCUGAAACCCCCUAGAGAGGAAAGAGAGGAUUUGGAGAUCCGGACCCCUGACCCUCCUGCACCACCGUACACACUGCCAGAC